rnacentral:rRNA from 1 species
UACGAACGCUGGCGGCAUGCUUAACACAUGCAAGUCGAACGGAAAGGCCCUGCUUUUGUGGGGUGCUCGAGUGGCGAACGGGUGAGUAACACGUGAGUAACCUGCCCUUGACUUUGGGAUAACUUCAGGAAACUGGGGCUAAUACCGGAUAGGAGCUCCUGCUGCAUGGUGGGGGUUGGAAAGUUUCGGCGGUUGGGGAUGGACUCGCGGCUUAUCAGCUUGUUGGUGGGGUAGUGGCUUACCAAGGCUUUGACGGGUAGCCGGCCUGAGAGGGUGACCGGCCACAUUGGGACUGAGAUACGGCCCAGACUCCUACGGGAGGCAGCAGUGGGGAAUAUUGCACAAUGGGCGGAAGCCUGAUGCAGCAACGCCGCGUGCGGGAUGACGGCCUUCGGGUUGUAAACCGCUUUCGCCUGUGACGAAGCGUGAGUGACGGUAAUGGGUAAAGAAGCACCGGCUAACUACGUG